AUCAGAGGAGCUCAGCUGUUAAAGUUUCUUUGUGGGGCUGUAAAAUGCCUGCCUGAAAUGUGUGAACGAUUACAGUGAUGUGAUUGUUGGAGCCAGUUACUCGUUUGCGACUUGGGAAAGUAUUAUUAAAGUAAUGAUAAUAUUUUUCCCUUUAAUACUUAGAGGUCUUUAAUCCAAAUAAUCCCUUGAAUGUUUUACAGACUCUACAGAUCAGAAUCACAUCUGCUCCUAGUGAAAAGGAAAAGCCUGGUGACUAUUUCUGACAAACAAAGGUGG
rnacentral:lncRNA from 1 species